CAUCUGUGAUUAUCCUAUUCUGAACCUGAAUUUCUACUAGAAAAAACUUAUAUGAAUCUGGCUUCUGAGAU
ensembl:snoRNA